rnacentral:rRNA from 1 species
UACGAAGGGGGCUAGCGUUGUUCGGAAUUACUGGGCGUAAAGCGCGCGCAGGCGGUCUUCCAAGUCAGUGGUGAAAGCCCGGAGCUCAACUCCGGAACUGCCAUUGAAACUGUGAGACUUGAGUAUGAGAGAGGUGAGUGGAAUUCCCAGUGUAGAGGUGAAAUUCGUAGAUAUUGGGAAGAACACCGGUGGCGAAGGCGGCUCACUGGCUCAUUACUGACGCUCAGGCGCGAAAGCGUGGGGAGCAAACAGG